rnacentral:rRNA from 1 species
GAGUUUGAUCGUGGCUCAGAGCGAACGCUGGCGGCAGGCUUAACACAUGCAAGUCGAGCGCCCCGCAAGGGGAGCGGCAGACGGGAGAGUAACACGUGGGAACGUACCCUUUAGUUCGGAACAACCCAGGGAAACUUGGGCUAAUACCGAAUACGUCCGUAAGGAGAAAGAUUUAUCGCUAAAGGAUCGGCCCGCGUCUGAUUAGCUAGUUGGUGAGGUAACGGCUCACCAAGGCGACGAUCAGUAGCUGGUCUGAGAGGAUGAUCAGCCUCACUGGGACUGAGACACGGCCCAGACUCCUACGGGAGGCAGCAGUGGGGAAUAUUGGACAAUGGGCGCAAGCCUGAUCCAGCCAUGCCGCGUGGAUGAUGAAGGCCUUAGGGUUGUAAAGUCCUUUUAACGGGGAAGAUAAUGACGGUACCCGUAGAAUAAGACCCCGGCUAACUUCGUGCCAGCAGCCGCCGUAAC